rnacentral:rRNA from 1 species
UACAGAGGUCCCGAGCGUUGUUCGGAUUCAUUGGGCGUAAAGGGUGCGUAGGCGGCGUGGUAAGUCUGAUGUGAAAUCCUGGGGCUCAACCCCAGAACUGCAUUGGAUACUGCCAUGCUAGAGUACUGGAGAGGAAACUGGAAUUUACGGUGUAGCAGUGAAAUGCGUAGAGAUCGUAAGGAAGACCAGUGGCGAAGGCGAGUUUCUGGACAGUAACUGACGCUGAGGCACGAAGGCCAGGGGAGCGAACGGG